rnacentral:rRNA from 1 species
UACAGAGGUCUCAAGCGUUGUUCGGAUUCAUUGGGCGUAAAGGGUGCGUAGGCGGCGCGGUAAGUCGGGUGUGAAAUCUCGGAGCUUAACUCCGAAACUGCAUUCGAUACUGCCGUGCUUGAGGACUGGAGAGGAGACUGGAAUUUACGGUGUAGCGGUGAAAUGCGUAGAUAUCGUAAGGAAGACUAGUGGCGAAGGCGGGUCUCUGGGACGGUACUGACGCUGAGACGCGAAAGCGUGGGGAGCGAACAGG